GGCCCCAUCGUCUAGCGGUUAGGACAUCGGCCUCUCACGCCGGUAACACGGGUUCAAGUCCCGUUGGGGUCG
rnacentral:tRNA from 1 species